CCUACGGGAGGCAGCAGUGGGGAAUAUUGGGCAAUGGGCGCAAGCCUGACCCAGCAACGCCGCGUGAAGGAAGAAGGCUUUCGGGUUGUAAACUUCUUUUGUCCGGGAAGAGUAGAAGACGGUACCUGACGAAUAAGCCACGGCUAACUACGUGCCAGCAGCCGCGGUAAUACGGAGGUGGCAAGCGUUGUCCGGAUUUACUGGGGGUAAAGGGCGUGUAGACGGGUUGAUAAGUCAGAUGUGAAAUUUUGCGGCUUAACCGCAAAACUGCAUUUGAUACUUUGAAUCUUGAGUACUGCGGAGGCAGAUGGAAUUCGUGGUGUAGCGGUGAAAUGCGUAGAUAUUAGGAGGAACACCGGUGGCGAAGGCAGUCUACUAAACAGCAACUGACAGUGAGGCGCGAAAGCGUGGGGAGCAAACAGGAUUAGAUACCCUUGUAGUC
rnacentral:rRNA from 1 species